UACGGGGGGGGUAAGCGUUGUUCAGAAUUACUGGGCGUAAAGGGCUCGUAGGCGGCCAACUAAGUCAUACGUGAAAUCCCUCAGCUUAACUGGGGAACUGCGUGUGAUACUGGAUGGCUUGGAUUUGGGAGAGGGAUGCGGAAUUCCAGGUGUAGCGGUGAAAUGCGUAGAUAUCUGGAGGAACACCGGUGGCGAAGGCGGCAUCCUGGACCAAUAUUGACGCUGAGGAGCGAAAGCCAGGGGAGCAAACGGG
rnacentral:rRNA from 1 species